UCGGCCUGCUUGGGACCCAGGCAACAGGAGCUCAGGCAGGCUGCAGUGGAUGCUACCUCACCCCCUUUGCAUCUCCCAAGGGGAGUGUGGCCUUCGUCAGGGGAGAAGUCUAAAUCAGACUGGCUUCGCACUGAUGGAGGGAUGUUGUGCUCAGCUACCUGCUGCUCCAGCUCUGCCAUCCCGGGCCCAUACUGACCCUCACAGACCAGCUUCUGUGGAAGAGCCAGGUCCUCAGUCCCACCAGGAAGGCCUGGGGGCUACAGUCCAGAGAACAAUUCCACACCCCACCCCCACAGCCACCGGUGCCCUCCUCACAGCAAGAGAAGCAGAGUUAGUCAGAGAGGCAAAGAAUGGACCGGCCAGGUGAGCAGCGUGGAUGAAUGGCCGCUGGUCCCCAUAGCAGGGACAUGCCAUUCUCAUGUGGCCAUCGGGACUAAGGCUCAGUCCCACUGGCUCUCAGGACUCAGGUCUCACACUGCACUCUUGUGUUAUUUGUGGCCCGAAACCUCAGCAGCUGCUGCCUGAACUUGUCCAGCCAGGACCUGCCCUCCCCCACAGUCCCUGGUUGUCAUCACAAUGACGGCUGCUCAGUGUCCUGUGGCUUGGUAUGACUACUGUCCAUCUACCCCACUCCUCCCAGCAGGAGGCUCUGUGCCUUCCGGGGUGGGGGGUCCUCCCUCUUCACUGUGACCCAGCCAAGUCCUCCCACUUCUCAGUGCCUUCCCCGGCUGCACUGUCUUCCUGCUGGCUACCCCCCUGGGUCCCCGAGCUAGCCCCGGGUUCAAACUCAAAGCCCCGGGCGCGGUACUCUGCACACUCCUGGGUCACCCGCUCGUGUAGCUGCUUGAUGCUGCCAAGGAGUAGCCACCAGCCUGCGGGUGCUUGAGCCGCCGAGCCUUGUCUACGUCCAGGAAGAGAUCUUUGAGCAGCACCUCGGCCUCCUUCAGGUUGCGCCCCGUCUCCUGCUGGUGCUGCAAAGCCUGGUUCUGCUCACCGUUCUGCCGGUCCUGGUGUGGGACACGGAGCCACAUGCUGGGCCCAAAGCCUCACGGCCAUGUUCUUGCUGACCUGCCCCUGCUGGACUGACUCCGCCCUCCCUCCCCCUGCAACCCGGCCCUGGAGGGACCCUGGUUGUACCAGCCCACCUUGGGGACCAUCAAACAGAGGGCUGGGGCGUCCAUGCGGCAGGUGGCAAGGACUCCUAGGUCAGGUAGCAAAGGUCCUUCUAUUUUAUUCCCAAAGUAGGAAGCAUGAUGCAGAAAGAAAGCUGAGCCCUCCCUGCGACUGGGGUGGGCUAUGGGCGGUUGAGGACUAGGUUGUCCAUCCCUCUUCAUAGAAGGAAUCUGGGGGCGCCUAGGCAUUGACUCUGGGCCUCUGUCCCCCGUCGUCUCCCCCCCUCCCCGUCUCCUCCCCCCAGUUGCAAGGUCCUUACUUGCUGCAAUUUCUUCUGAGUCUCCAAAAUGUCCCUCUCCACCUGGUCAGCGUUGGCUUGCAUGCGGGAGAUGAGCAGGGCCAGCUCCUGGGUCGCAGCCCUGGUAGAUAGUCAGGGACAGAGGGACACAUUAUGGAAAGGCCCUCUGUGUCUGCCAUGUGGGAUCUCCCCUGUCCUCCCACAGGGAAGAGUCCAUGGUCUGAGCUCUGAAGUGCUCAGCCCUGCAGAGGGUUUGGAAAGUGACCUUCCAGGGCUGUGUGCUGCUCCAAAGCAUGUGUGCCUCAAAUACUCCAAAUCCUGCCCAACCACCUGCCUGCACCUUGAGGUGGGUGGGGAGGUGGCCCAGGGAGAAAGUCAGUUACCUAAGAUAGCCUGGCUGCCUUCAGGAGGCGCAGCUGGACCCAGUGGAAGCAGGGGAGCAGAGGCCUCUUCCCUCACCCCAGCUUCCCCCAUUCCAGCCCUGGCUGCCCCCACCAUCCUUCUGCCCAAGGGGCUUCAGCAGUAUGGAAACUCUAGUGACUCCCUGGAAGAACCAGUGUUGGGACAUGGAGAGGCCAAGAGAUGGCUGGAUACCCCAAUAUCCUCCUGCUGAUUCAGGGGCUCAGGAGCCUGGCCUCCAACCUGCUUUGCUUUGUUUUGUUUUUUUUCUGUUUGUUUUUUCUGUUUGUUUGUUUGUUUGUUUCGAGACAGGGUUUCUCUGUAUAGCUUUGUGCUUUGUGCCUUUCCUGGAUCUUGCACUGUAGACCAGGCUGGCCUUGAACUCACAAAGAUCCACCUGCCUCUGCCUCCCAAGUGCUGGGAUUAAAGGGGUGCGCCACCCCUGCCUGGCUCCUGCUUUGCUCUUUAGUACACCCUCAGGAAGCCAGUUGCUCAACCCCCAGGCUUCUUCCCCAGGCACUCAGUGUCCCCCACUCAGUGUCCCCCACUCAGUGUCCCCCACUCAGUGUCCCCCACUCAGUGUCCCCCACUCAGUGUCCCCACAGAGCUCUUCAGAGCCCCUCUGUGGGCGUGCACUCUGAGGGAGAGAAUCGGCACACUUGAAAAGGCAUCUGUCCAGGGCCUCUGUGCACAACACCCUGCAGGAGUCACAGGCCAGGUGACCGGGAGCUGCCCCUGGACCCUCAAAGCACAGUGCCGGUGAAGAUACGGCCUUCUGAGAAGGCUAUGGCCAAAAGGCCUGGGUUUGGUCCUCCUUACUAGUACUCGGUACACAGCCAAGGUUGGCUUGGUCAUCCUGCCUCCCCUUCCCGAGGUGCUGAAUUUAUAGGCAUAUGCUACCACAUCUGGCUUUACUUAUUAUUUUUUUUUUAGCCUUAAAAAUACAAACAAACUUGGUCUCAACAA